GCUUGUUUCCUUUUACAUAGGUUGUGCUGGUGUAUGAGCAGUUCACAUUCUUGGACCCAAAUGAGGGAAACCUACUCUGGCUUUCGUGAGUCUGUUCCAGAAUGUUGAACUUUCUUGAAUUCAAAGUAGAUCGUGGCUUUGAUCUUCGAUGUGAUUAAAGUAAUGAAUGACAAACGUUAUCUCCAAAGAAUACUGAAUAUAGAAGCUAAAUGUGAUUUUUCCCCAUCAAAGAGCUAUUCCUAAAGCUGUAUAUUUAAGGUUUUUCUGCCAAUCGGUUGAAAACAUACUGGACUUACACUCAGGGAACGAACUACCAUGUCCUACCGUGCCACUCUGGAGCUGAAGAAACAUUUCUGAGCAGGUCAUGGAGCUCGUCUAUCACGUGUGCUACUUUCCCCCUCUGCUUGCCUGUACACACCGCACAGGAAAGUGAUCACGACUCUUGUCACAGGCUGCAGAUUUUCUGGACCACACUAUCAUAAUGCAUUGUCAGAGGAAUACUGCUUGUAUUCCCCCACCUGUAAUGCUGAGGGCAGCUACACUGUCUCCACACACAAGCUUUUUAUAAAGCUAGAGUUUUCCAUUUUGCGAUUAGGCUCUCAAGGCCCCACUUCUCAAACCCAUAGAUAGGAAAUCACAGGACAGAGCUCAAAGACCCCACUGUUCCCAGUAAGGCUCCAUGGCACGUACUAAGACGUCCUCUUCUCUGUCUCUGCUAUUGUGCUUGCAGUGUCAGAAGCAAACUAC